rnacentral:tRNA from 1 species
CGGGGCGUGGCGCAGUCCGGUUAGCGCACCAGCAUGGGGGGCUGGGGGCCGUCGGUUCAAAUCCGACCGCCCCGA